rnacentral:tRNA from 1 species
GACUAUUUAUUAUAAUUUAUUAUAUCAGACUGUAAAUCUGAAGAUGUUGAUAUUUCAAUAGUUA